rnacentral:lncRNA from 1 species
CUGGGCCUCCUUACCAUCUUCUCACCUCUUUAACUGUAUAAAGAGCACAACAUAGAUUGCAAAAAAAAAUCCCAUAGAUUUAAGCUUGUGGCCCCCCCAACAUCAAACUCUACCUCCGCCACUGACUAAAGCAGUCAUUUGAAAAUUGAAAAUGAGCAAUAUUUGGAAAAAGAAAUAGAUGAAUGAUCAAAAUAUCCCUUCCAAAAGUUGCACAAAAAAUCCAUACUAAAAAAAGUGUAGAACAAAAACAAGUUGGUAAGAGGAUGACACAAAUGUAGCUAGUAGCACGAAAUGGAUCGUACGUAUCAGGAGACAAAAAUACACCCUCAUCAUCCUUCAGUUUUGAAGGGAAGCAAAUUAAUAAAGACAUAGAGCAGCAGAGAAGGGAUGAAUGGGUGAAAAGCAUGUACAAAAGGAGACAAAUAGCUGAGAUCACAAUAGUGCUAGCUCCUUCUUCCGUUACUUGCUUCAUCAAAAAACAAGAUGCAAAACCUCAGGUUUUCUCACAGAAAACCACUGCAGAAUUUUUCUUAUAUAUAAUAAUAAUAAUCUACAAGGGACAAAUGCAGCUUCCGGAUUUCCACAAAUCUCAAAACCACUUUGCCUUUUUCUUUUGCUUUAUGUGUAUAUAUACACAUUUAGUGUUAGGGUCCAAAGCAUAGUCCUCCAUACACAAGAAAACAAAAAAAUAAAAAUCCCCCAGAAACAGAAAAAAGCAGAGUGCUCUGCUGAAUUAACUGAAGAUGUGUGCAACAAGAGGAGCUUGGAUCGCAGCGGUUAGUGUUGGAGCUGUUGAGGCUUUGAAAGAUCAAGGCUUCUGCAGAUGGAGUUAUACCAUGAGGUCUUUGUGUAAAAUAGGUAUGAAAAGAUAUUUGACCAGAAUAAUCUUAUUGAUCAUUGAUAUAUGUUUAUAUAAUACAUUCCGUAGGUUUUCCCUAUAAGUAAGCUAACUAGCUAGGAAAGAAUAUAUACGGGAAUCAAAUAAUAUAACAUUCCUAUUCUAUUAUACAAUCCCUAAACUGAAGGGUAAUCUUUGAUUCUCAACACUCCCCCUCAAGUUGGAGAGUGGAUGUCAAGAACUCCCAACUUGCGUGACAUACGAGCGAAAUCAUCUUUGCCCAAUGCUUUGGUGAAGAUGUCUGCUAUUUGCUGGGAAGAAGCAACAUGCUUUGUCGUUACAGAACCAUCUUGGAUUUUGUCUCUAAUAAAAUGACAAUCCAUUUCAAUGUGUCGUGUUCGCUCAUGGAAAACAGGAUUUGCUGCUAUAUGUAACGCAGCUUGGUUGUCGCAAUGAAGUAUCGCUGCCUUCCGAUGUGGCAACUGAAGAUCUCGUAACAAACUACGCAACCAAGUCAGUUCACAACAAGCACCAGUCAUAGCUCUGUAUUCUGCUUCUGCUGAAGAAAGUGAAACAGUUUUCUGUCUCUUUGAUCUCCAAGAAAUCAAGGAGUUUCCGAGAAAAACACAAUAUCCAGUGGUAGAUCUUCUGGUGGUUGGACAACCUCCCCAGUCAGAAUCACAAUAAGCUCGCAAUUUUAAGUCAUUUUGAGCUGGAAAAAAUAAACCUUGUCCUGGAGUGUUUUUGAGGUACUUCAAGAUGCGCAACGCCACCUCCAUAUGAGGUUUACGUGGCUCAUGCAUAAAUCUACUGAGCACAUGCACUGCAUAUGUAAUGUCUGGUCUCGUGAUGGUCAAGUAAAUCAAACGACCCACUAACCUCCUGUACUUGGCUGGAUCUUUAAGCAAUUCACCUGUGUCAGAUAAUUUCAAAUUUUGUUCCAUGGGAAAUAAGACAGGUCGUACCCCAAGAAAACCACUAUCUUUAAGGAUGUCAAUGGUGUAUUUCCUCUGAGAGAUGCUAAUGCCUUUCUUUGAACGCGAAACUUCAAUACCCAAAAAGAAUUUAAGGUCACCGAGAUCCUUAAUGCGGAAGCGGGUAUGAAGAAAACGUUUAAGAGAAUUAAUGGCACCCAAGUUAUUUCCUGUGAUCAAUAUAUCGUCAACAUAAAUCAAGAGAGCAAUGAAUGACUUUCCUCUGUUGCACGUGAAUAAGGAAUAGUCUGCUUUGGACUGAGUAAAACCAGCAGCUUGAAUAGCUUCAGAAAAUUUUGCAAACCACUGACGAGAAGCUUGUUUUAGGCCAUAUAAAGACUUGUGGAGGCGACAUACCAGAUUCUCCCCCUGUCGCUGAAGACCAGGCGGUGGUGUCAUAUAAAUCUCUUCAUGGAGAUCCCCAUGAAGGAAGGCAUUAUGGACAUCUAAUUGAUGAAGGGGCCAAGAGGAAGCAGCAGCAAGUGCAAGAAGGCUGCGAACAGUAACCAUCUUGGCGGUAGGAGAAAAAGUAUCAUGAAAAUCAACACCCUCUGUCUGUGUAUAACCCUUGGCGACUAACCGAGCUUUGUACCGUUCAAUAGAUCCAUCAGAAUGAUGUUUGAUCUUGUAGACCCACCGACAACCAAUAGGGUGCUUGCCAGGAGGAAGAGGAGUAAGAGUCCAUGUAUGAUUGGUCUCUAAAGCUUGAAGUUCAGAGCGCAUGGCUUGCUGCCAGUUAGGAUCAGAAUUGGCCUCAGAGAAGGAACGGGGCUCCACACUGUGACUGAUGUGAGUAAUGAAAGCAAGAUGUGCUGGUGUAUAUCUGUGAUAAGAAAUAAAGUUGCUCAAGGGAUAACGAGUACCUGAGGUGCGAUGUGAAGACGAAGACUCCGAUUGGACAUCGUUGGGUAGCGUGACUUGAGAGCAAACAUAGUCUUGGAGGCGCACAUUCGGAACCUUGUGACGUUCAGAUUGGCGAGUGGGUUGAACGGGUGGUGCCGGUGAAGGUGGUGCAGUAGGCGGAAGAGAAGAUGGGAUUGCAAGAGGAUCUGGUGCUGGAAGAGGAAGAUCUGCAGAAGGAGGCGCAAAAGGAGUGGAACUCAUUGGACUAAUAGGCAAAGUGUGCUCCGUGGGUUCAGGAGCUAGAUUGGAAUUUUGUGGUGGAGAUGAGUCAUGGGCUGAAAUGGGUAAAGGAAGGCUAGUGUUUGGGAUGGUGGUGGGACCAGCUGUUGGAGUAGAAAAAGGGAAGACAUCUUCCUUAAAUAAAACAUCUCGGCUAGUGAAUAUUUUUUGAGUGGACAAAUCAUAGAGUUUAUAUGCCUUUUGACCAAGUGGGUACCCAAUAAAAAUGGAUUUAAUUGCUCGAGAAUCAAACUUUUUGGUAGGGUGGACUAUAGUAGCAUAUGCAAGGCAGCCAAAUACUCUUAAAUGUGAAUAUGAUGGGGUUUUGUGAUAUAAACGUUCAAAAGGGGUUUGUUUGGAAAGAACUAAAGUGGGAAAUCGAUUAAUCAAAUGAACGGCAGUGAGAAUGCAGUCCCCCCAAAAACGGAGAGGCAAGUGUGCUUGAAAUCGCAAAGCACGUGCGGUCUCAAGAAUAUGACGGUGCUUACGUUCGACAACACCAUUUUGUUGGGGUGUGUAGAUGCAAGAAUGUUGAUAAAUGAUGCCUUGUUCUUUAAAAAAAUCUCGCAAUGAAGAAAAUUCACCCCCAUUAUCUACCCUAAUUGCUUGGAUUGUAGCAGUGAAUUGGGUCUGAACCAUGGAAAAAAAAGAUUUUAGAAUCCCUUGUGUUUCAUGCUUAUGAUGCAUAAGGAAAACCCAGGUAAAGCGAGAAUAAUCAUCCACUAUAGUUAAAAAAUAACGACCCCCAGAAAGGGAAGGAACUUUGUGAGGUCCCCAAAUAUCACAAUGAAUAAGGGAAAAAGGUUUUGAAGUUGAAAUUGAACUAAUGCCAAAAGGAAGGCGAGUUUGUUUAGAAAAAUGGCAAGCAUCACAAACAUUAUGGAAAGAAAAUGAACAAUUCAAAUGUUUUGCUAAAAAUUGUAAACGAGAGGAUGAAAUAUGCCCUAAACGGCGAUGCCAUAAAUCUCCAGGAGUUGUAACCAGGUGACAGGAAGGUUGGAUGGUGGAUGGUGUUCUGUCAGACGCCAACGCCACAAGGUAGUAGAGCCCAUCACGCUCCUUACCCAAACCAAUCAUCGUCCUCGUCUUCAAAUCCUGUAAAAUACACCAAGUGGGAAAGAAAAUUACUGAGCAUUGUAAUCCUUUCGUAAGUCGACUUACGGACAUCAGAUUAACUUUAAAUGUAGGCACACAUAGCACAUCUCGUAAAUAAAAAUAUGAGUUCAAAGGAAGAGUCCCAGUAGAUGCAAUUGGCGCUGUUUCUCCACUAGGCAUAGUGACUGGCAACAUAGAGGAAGUAUUCAUCCUCUUGGUAAGGAAUUUCGAAUCUGAUGUAAUAUGAUGAGUUGCUCCACUAUCAAUUAUCCAAUGUAAAUUGGGUAACAAUUCGGAAAUACCUGAAGAAGCUGAGGCGGUAUUGGCUUGUGGUGCAAUGUGGGAUGGAUUAGUGUUGUCACUCAUCAUCGCAUGAAUUUUCUUACAUUGAUCCUCGGAUAAAGAUGGCAUAGCUGUGUGAAUCUCCUGCAAGGAUGGACCAUUGGAUGCCACAUUAUUGGCGGAACUGCUGCUACCUUUCCCUUUACCUUUCCCGGAUUUGUGAAGCCUGUGUCCAGGGGGAUAGCCAUGUAGCUUGUAGCACUUGUCCACUGUAUGGUGAUCCUGAUCGCAAUGGCUGCAGUGAAGAGGUUUGCGCCCAGAAGAAUUUGAACGCUGAUUGUUUCGAACUGCCAUAGCUGCUGGUUCGGUGAUUGCUUGGCUGGAACCUAAGUCACGCUGCUUUUCUUCUUGGGUGAUCAAAGAAUAAGCCUUGCGAACCUUAGGGAGAGGCUGCAUAAGAAGUAUUUGGCCUCGAAUGGCGCUGUAGGACUCAUUAAGCCCCAUAAGGAACUGCAUCAACGAGUUUCGUUCCUCCUGUUCGACAUGCUUCUUCAUGGCACCGCAAGAACAAGCUGGGACGUCGCUGUAAGAAGACAGCUCGUCCCACAGACUCUUCAUCUUGGUAUAAUAAACAGCAACAGACAUCUGCUCCUGUGAGAGGGAAGCUAUGGUGCGUUGUAUCUCGAAAAUACGAGGAGCGUUAAGUUGGGAAAAACGUUCUUUAAGGUCCUCCCAAAUCUCUUGUGCGGUGGAGGAGUAUAACACGCUUUCUGCAAUAUCUGGUUCUAUCGAAUUGAGCAGCCAAGAUAAAACCAUGUCGUUGCAACGCUGCCAAACCUCAAAAGUCUCAGGAUUAGUUUUCUCCGAAGGGACUUUGAUUGUCCCAUUCACGAACCCCAAUUUGUUCUUCGCGCUUAGGGAGAUGCGCAUAGAGCGGCACCAUGUCGCAUAAUUGUUUCCAUUAAGGAUUUUGGAAACAAGAACCAUUCCAGGAUGAUCAGAAUGGUGAAUGAAAAAGGGAUCGGAAGCAUCGUUUUUGCUUCCCGAUGCAGCGGAUUCUUGGUCUUUGGUCAUGGUGGCAGCGUCAAGGAGAGGAUGAAAAUUAAGGUUGAAAGGUGACUAUUUGACAAGUGCGGCUAGAGCCAAGAGCUAGAGUUUCCUCUGCUCUGAUACCAUGUAAAAUAGGUAUGAAAAGAUAUUUGACCAGAAUAAUCUUAUUGAUCAUUGAUAUAUGUUUAUAUAAUACAUUCCGUAGGUUUUCCCUAUAAGUAAGCUAACUAGCUAGGAAAGAAUAUAUACGGGAAUCAAAUAAUAUAACAUUCCUAUUCUAUUAUACAAUCCCUAAACUGAAGGGUAAUCUUUGAUUCUCAACACUUUGAUCCAGCAUGCCAAGAACAAUAUGAGAUCAUUCUUACAAGCCAAGGAACUCUCUUCUUCUUCUUCUGCUAUGGUUUUGAACAAAAUGAAUUCUGAACAGAAGAACCAAGCUGAGGAUUCUCUAAGAAAAGUCAUGUACUUGAGCUGUUGGGGUCCUUAUUGAAAUCCCUCCAACAUUAUAGGUAGUUGAGGAUGUACCACUUAGAUUUUAUUUUUGAAACUGAGUUUAAGCUGUAUAUACAUGAUUUGAAUGUAUAUUUUCCCAACCCAACAACAAGAAAAUCCCAGAUUUUGAUGUUUACCAAUGAACAUGAACGUUGGUUUUUCAGUCAAACAACUAACCAGUUGAAAUUAUCACAAAGCCAAAAACAAAGAACCAACUAGUUGAAAUUUAUAUCAGUUAGGUGCAACAAGAACACAAUCUCAUCCUAUUGAUCAUCGUUGACAAAAUUCAAGUACAAAAGUAAUGUAAAAAUCCGAAGGGUUCGUUUAGAUCAAAAUCUUAGAGCAUUACGUUUUUCAAAUAUAAAAUGAACACACACCAGACAUGUUGAUAUUCCAUCUUAUUAGUCAUCUAAUUCAUCAACUAUAUAUGACGCUUUUAUCACAAACUAAAUAACUAACUCUUAAUUUAAUGAUAUUUCAUUUAAAAAAAAGAAAGAGAAUCCUCAUUAAUUUAGUAUAUUAUGUUUCUUCUUCAUCAAAUACCAAUUGAUACUCAAUCGACAUACAUCCAUGUGUGACAAUCAUGUGAACUCUAAUAUGAUCACUUCUCCAACAAGAGUGAUGGAAAUUUAGAGGAAACAUUCUAGUUUUUUUGGGGCAGCAGAUGUUAGGGACACUCAUCCGUUCAUCCAUGUGUGAGAAUAAUAUGAGCUCCAAAGAAGUUGAAGUUCCACUCAAAAUUAAUUUGAAAAAAAUAAUCCAACUUUUUAUGAAUUGUUACUAAAAUAUUCAACCAUUCAAUAUGAGACAUUUUCAUUUUCGCAUUUUCACAGUUACAUUUUCAACUAGCACGCAAACAAGUAAACUACUGGUUUCACUCCCAGACUGCUACUACUAGCCCACAGUCCAAAAUAAAGUGACGAGAGACUGUUUCUGUCUUUUGGCCCACACUUCAGAUCAAACAAGCAAACAAAUGGUUUCACUCCCAUACUUCCUAAAUACAAUAAUUUAAAUCAAAACCAUGUGCCCAUGAGGCAACAAAACUCUGUGCUUAUCCAAACUCCAGAAUAUUAAAUUCCACUUUUACCCCUGCCUAGUACAUCAUAUUGCCUCCAUCCGCAUGUACAAAACAGUAAUAUCUCCAAAUAUAGUGUAACAUCCACAUACCUUACCAAAAGAAACAGAAGAAAACAAAACCAGCUCUGGUUUCUUGCCACAAGCCCACCUUUUAAAAAAAAAAUUCCCCUAUAUGGGGAGCACCUCAAGAUCAUCUUCUCCAUCAAUACACUCAAACAUUCACAUUCACAUUCACUACUGAAGAGAAGAAAUCAUAAUCGUGAUGAGUUCAUCAAGUGCAAGCAAGGCUAUUGUGGCAGCAAGUGUUGGAAUUGUGGAGGCAUUGAAGGACCAAGGGAUAUGCAGGUGGAACUCUGCUUUAAGAUCUGUGCACCAGCAAGCCAAAACCCAACUCAGGUCAUUGUCUCAGGCCAACAACAAGCUCUCAUCUUCUUCUGCUUCAGCUGCUUUCAGUAAAGUCAGAGAUGAGAAGCUGAAGAAAUCAGAGGAGUCUUUGAGGACAGUCAUGUACUUGAGCUGCUGGGGUCCCAACUAAUUCAAUCAGCACAGAGACAGAGAGCAAAAAGAUCAGAAUUUUGCGCAAGAGGUUGCUGAAAUGAAGCUUGGGCAUGAACAUAAGGAUGAAACAAGAUUACACAACCCAUGAAAGGGCUCCUUGAGUUUUAUAUAUAUCAAAUGAUCAGGAUAUGUAAACUUGUUGGGUUACAUACUACUGGCAAAGGCAAUCGUUGUAAAUGGCAGACAGUUCAUUCAUGUCUGCUUGCUUGCUUGGGGCAAGUUGAUGUAAAUUACCACAUAAUGCAAAAGCACACAUAUUUCUGAGCAAUUGAUGCCUUGAUCAUUCUUUUCGAGUUUUUCUUUUUGCCCUUUCUUAUUAAUCCAUUAUUUACUUCGUUUUAACUGAAGGAUUUAUGAUACUAUAAAUUUGAGUAUUUAGUAGUGAAACAUAAUUGAGUUGCCCUAAUUGGGUAAAAUCCAUUGUGUUGAAUGGUUUCUUUCUCCAACAAAAGCUAUAGCCCAACACAUCCCAUGGUUUUUCCCACAUUUUAUGGGGUUUCCUUCCUCCUAUUCAUCCUCUGCUUUCGUUUCAAGUAAGCUCAGCUGCUGAGGUCCCGGUUGAAUAUUAAUUCAGCUUGUUUGUUAGAUCCCCUGAAUUCUCUAUGAUAUAUACAAUUGAUUAUUCUAUGCACCAGAAACUUAAACAUUAAUCAAGCUACUUAUUAAUGUUUAAGUUUUUAUGCUAACACACAUUUUAUAUCAAAUGAGUGUUGUUGGUGCUCUCAGAAAUGGUGAGAGGUACCUCUUCUUUUUGUAUUUUUGUUCACCACUCUUAAUUAGCGAUGAGUAAUACCAUCACGUUAAUUAUUGUGCAAGAAAUUCAUGUAAUUGUCGUGGAGGAAAUUCAUGUAAUAUGUAGAUUAAAUCAUACUCAUCAAAUGAAAAUUAACCUAAUUAUAAUGCUCACUAUUUCUUUAAUGAUAUGUCAACACAUAGUAGACUCAUGCCUAUAAUUAGUCGAAGCAAAUAGAGAGAAGGAAAGACACUAUAAUGUUUGUUUUUCCGCCCACGGUCCACACCAGACCAAGUAAACAAAUAGUUUCACUCCUACAUUGUGUUUGAAAUAGAUGCGCAAGAGGCAGUAAAUAGAAUCAAUUCUGACAAAGAGUGUUUUGAAGCAGAAGAGAACUUGGUGGAAGAUAUUAAGGAGAUGCGGUUGUGGUUUAGAUCUUUCUCGUGUGAACAGCAGUGAUGGGAUGGUAAUGUAGUUGCUCCUGAGCUAGCCCAAUAUGCUAUUAGAAACACAAACAUGGAUUGAGGAGAAGCCUCCUUGGUUGAGUUCUUUGCUUGCUGCAGAUUUAAGAGCUACUGGUUGAUUUAUAUAUUCGACAUCAAGUGGGAGGCCUUUUUUUACCUUUGGCGGAUUUUCCUCUUUUUUGGGGUUUUUUUAUGCCAACGAUUUUUUACAAAGGCCCAAACUGUUAACGUGAGUUAACCUACUAAAUCAAGGAGAUUUAUUUCCUAAGUUAAUUAGGUGAUUUACUUCAUUGUUUUAUAUAAUUGACACAUCCUUGUAUAAUUAGGAGAUAUUCUCCUAAUUAAUUACUGUAUCUAUUUCUUUAUGAAGUACCCUUGUAAAGUCCUAUAUAUACCUCCUUAUGGAGAAGAAUACAAUUAACCUAAAGUAUUCAAACCAUAUUCAUAUUUUAGCAUGGUAUAAGAGCAAUCUAUCCUAGGUUGUCUCUAAGCCCUCAAAUCAUACCCUCAAAUUCAAACCCAAACCCUAAAUCAAAUUCCUUACCUCCCAAAUCAAAUCCUCUUAUCAAACUCCUUAAACACAUACCUCUCAAAUCAAAUUCCUAAAUCAAAUUCAUACAUCAAAUUCCUCAAAUCAAAAUCCUCAAAUUCUCAAAUAAACUCCUUAACCACAAACACACACUCAUAUCAAAUGUUACUUCUGCUGCAAUGCCAGGACCCCCUACGAUUCUCUCCCUUCUUGCAAACUCACAGAAGCAUGCGAUCAAUCGUGUUAAACUGGCUACCCAGGCUCGUGCUUCUAUCACUACCACCAAAGGUUCUGCUUUUCAUAUGUCCUCUCCAAAGCCCACAUGAAUUAUUGACUUGGGUGCUAUGUAUCACAUGACAUUUGAUCCUGGCCAACUUAUUAGUCGCAAACCAUCCACUCAGUCGGUAGUGUCUAAUGCUAAUGGUAUCCUCUCCCAUGUGGUUGGAGAUGACUCUCUAUCUCUCUCUAACUCCAUACAUAUGGAUUCUGUAUUGAUUGUCCCAUUCUUGGACCAUAACUUGUUGUAUGUUGCACAACUUACUACUACUUUGAGGUGUAUUGUAAUAUUUUGGACAAAUCAUUGUGUUUUUCAGAACAUUCUCACGAGGAAGACGAUUGGUUGUGAUACUAGGUGGGGCAAACUCUACUACUUGGACUAGGCAUCGGAUAGUGAGACCAAGGUUGGUCAAGCUUUCACAACAAGUGGAGCUAGUUCUGAGAGGCAAAGAGACAAAGUUUGGUUAUGGCAUAAAUGUCUUGGGCAUGCCUCAUUUGGUUAUCUAAAGAAGCUGUUUCCAUCAUUAUUUUUCAGUUUUGAUGUUUCUAGCUUCCAGUGUGAUACGUAUGAAUUAGUUAAGAGCCAUCGUGUUCCUUUCCCAUUAAGUACAAAUAAAAGUUUGGUUCCAUUCUUCCUUAUUCAUUAUGAUGUUUGAGGGCUUGCUUAAAUCACUACUCCGGUUGGAGCUUGAUGGUUUGUCACCAUCACUGCGCACGAAUGACUUGGGUUCUCCUUCUCAAAACCAAAGGGGAAGUCAGUUUAACAUUUCAAUAGUUCUAUAAAAUAGUGGCAACUCAGUUUCAUGCCAAAAUCCAGGUUUUCCAUUUUGACGAUGGCGGCAAAUUUCUUAAUUAUAAUCUCAACAAAUUUUUACAAGAUCAUGGCAUCAUACAUCAACGCUCGUGUUCAUAUACUCCCCAACAAAAUGGGGUGGUUGAGCAAAAGAACCAACAUUGAUUGGAAGUCGUUCGUGCAUCUUUAUUUGAUACCAACAUGCCUCGGAAGAACCAACAUGUGAACCCUAAACCCUAACAUGAUCACUUCGCCAAUAAGAGUGAUGGAAAUUUGGAGGAAGCAUUCUUUUUUUUGGGGGGGGAGUGGGGGGGGGGGGGGGGGGGGGGGGGGGCGGCGGGCGCAAAUGUUAGAGACACUUGUCCAUCCAUCCACAUGUGAGCUUUACAUAAUUGUUGGAGGAAGUUGAGAUUUCAUUCCAAAAUUAAUUGGUAAUGGGGCAAGUAGUCCAACUUCACGCAAUUUCUCAACUAUCCAAUGUGAUAUAUAAUCAUGUGAGCUUUACGUAAUUAUUGAAGGAAGUUGCGAUUUCACUCCAAAAUUAAUUAGUAAUGGAGAAAAUAGUUCAACUUCAUACAAUUGAUCAACUAUCCAAUAUGAGACAUUUUCACUACUACAAACAAGUAAACUACUGGCCAGAAGCUGCUACCAAAAUAAAGUGACGAUACGAGAGACUCUGUUUCUGUCUUUUGGUCCGCUCUCCAAAUCAAACAAGCAAACAAAUGGUUUCACUCCAAUACGGCGGGCCUAAAUACAAUAAUUUAAAUCAAAACCAUGUGCCCAUGAGGCAACAAAAAUUCUGUGCUUAUCCAAACUCCAAAAUAUUAAAUUCCACUUUUACCCCUGCCUAGUACAUCAUAUUCCCUGCAUCUGCAUGUACAAAACAGUAAUAUCUCCAAAUAUAGUGUAAAACAUCCACAUACCUUACCAAAAGAAACAGGAGAAAAACAAAACCAGCUCUGGUUUUUCGCCACAAGCCCACCUUUUUUUAUUAGAAAUCCCCUAUAAAAAGAGCACCUCAAGAUCAUUUUAUCCAUCAGUACACUCAAACAUUCACAUUCACAACUGAGAAGUUCAAAGCAUCAAAGAGAGAUCAGUAAGGAAGAGAAAAGAAAUCAUAAUCGUGAUGAGUUCAUCAAGUGCAAGCAAGGCUAUUGUGGCAGCAAGUGUUGGAGUUGUGGAGGCAUUGAAGGACCAAGGGAUAUGCAGAUGGAGCUCUGCUUUAAGAUCUGUGCACCAGCAAGCCAAAACCCAACUCAGGUCAUUUUCUCAGGCCAACAACAAGCUCUCAUCUUCUUCUGCUUCAGCUGCUUUCAGUAAAGUCAAAGAUGAGAAGCUGAAGAAAUCAGAGGAGUCUUUGAGGACAGUCAUGUACUUGAGCUGCUGGGGUCCCAACUAAUUCAAUCAGCACAGAAACAAGCGCAAAAAGAUCACAUUUCUGUUGAGGCUUUGAAAGAUCAAGGCUUCUGCAGAUGGAGUUGCACCACCAUGAGGUCUGUGCACCAGCAUGCCAAGAACAAUAUGAGUUCUUUCUUACAAACCAAGGAACUCUCUUCUUCUUCUUCUUCUGCUAUGGUUUGAACAAAAUGAAUUCUGAAGAGAAGAAUCAAUUAAGAAAAGUCAUGUACUUGAGCUGUUGGGGUCUUUAUUGACACAAAUUGGAGCUCAUGGUGAAGUCCCUCAAGAUUUGAAGAUUUUUGAGACUGAAUUGAAGCUGUGUACAUUAUUUGAAUGUAAAUUUUCCCAAUCAACCAAAAAAACAAGAAAAUUUAUGUUCUUUGGUUUUUAUCAAUGAACAUUGGAUCUAUUAAUUAGACAAUUCUCGACCAGGUUAACCUUAGCUUACUGUAUCAUUGGUACUUAUUUGGAAUUCUAAUUCAAUACAUGUUGGUUUUAUUAAUGGUUCCUCCUUCAAAUAGAGAUGCUUUUGGUUCUAUUUUUCAGUCAAUCAACUAACCAGAUGAGAUUAUCACAAAACAAAAAACAGAGAACAAACCAGUUGAAAUUUAUUAGUUAGGGGCAACAAGAACACACAAGGUUAUCUCAUCCUAUUGAUCAUUGUUUGCAAAAUAAAAAGGCAGACGGUUCAUUUCGAUCAACCAAAACUUUAAAAACUAACUCUUAAUAUAGUGAUGUGAAAACUAACUCUUAAUAUAGUGAUAUUUCACUUAGAAUGAAGAAAGAGAAUCCUCAUUUACUUUACAAAGGGUUAUGAAGCGUUUAACAAAAGGCCUUGUCAUUUGGUCAAGGUCAACACAGUCUUGUUUAGUGGAAAAGAACCAUAAUCUUGUUCAGUGGAAAAGGACCAGAGUCUUGUUUAGUGGAAAAGGUCACUGAACAAGGAUCUGAGUCUUGUUUAGUGGAAAAGGACCAGAGUCUUGUUAGUAUUGUUAAAUGGAAAAAUGACCUGACUUACAGGCUAAUUGUCCCAAUUUCAAACUUCUAUGAUACAGUUGACAAUAUGUGUAGGAGAACACCUCCCUCCGGCAAUAUCACUUAUAUAAAACAAGCCUUAUGAUGUGUUUAAGUCCGGCUCAUAGUUUGUGCAGGCUGGACGAUGGCACAGGGCCCCCAAAUAUUUGAGGCUCCAAUUUUUUUUCUAGCCCACUUCUAAAAGAAACCCAAAAAAACCCUUCAUUUAUCUACAGUUUAAUUUUUUAAAAUAAACCCUUUAUUCCUUUUGACAAUAAGACCAAAGAAAGGAAAAUAGGGAGCCUUUUGACUAAAGAAAACGGGCCCCCCUGUUUUCAAUUUCCUAACCCAACAAUUUUAAGUUUGUUGUAAAGUUUAGAGUGGAGACUAGGGCUGGGCACGGUUCGGUUUGGACCGGUUUCGGGGAAAAAAUAGAACCUGAUCCGAUAGUGCAGACCGGUUCAGUUUGGACCGGUUCUGCUCAACAUCCAUACAGAAAUCCGAACCAAACCAGACCUGUCCGAUUCCGGUUCGGUUCCUGCGGUUCCGGUUUUUUUUUAUUUUAUUAUUUUUUUAUAAUUUAAAAUUUAACAAAUCUGCCCAAAAUGUAUUUAUAUACUAACAUACCCCAAAUUUGAGGUUCCAUCAAGCUUUCAACACAUCAAAAUGAAUCCAACUUCAACAAAAAUACAAUCCAAAUUCAAAUGAAUCCAACUUAAACAAAAAUUCAAUCCAAAUUCAAUCCAACUUCAACAUCAUCAAAAUGAAUCCAACUUCAACAAAAAUACAAUCCAAAUUCAAAUGAAUCCAACUUCAACAAAAAUUCAAUCCAACUUCAACAUCAUCAAAAUGAAUCCAACUUCAACAAAAAUACAAUCCAAAUUCAAUCCAACUUCAACAUAUAAAUUACAACCCAAAUUAAAUCAAACUUCAACAAAAUAAGUUCCAAAAUAAAUUACUAGCCAAAUACAACCCAAAUUCAACCAAAUAUACAUUACAACCCAAAUUAAAUUCCUCCUAACAUUGGAAAGUAGUUGGAGCUAUGGUGCUAGGUGUGGAUGAACUCAUAAUAUCUACAUAAAAAAAAUCAAAGGAUCAACAUACUCACAUUAACACUUUGAUUUACAACCCACUUCCACUUGUUGGGUUUGUUAAACCAAUAUAUCCAUUUCUUAGGACAAUUCUAUCUCUUAGGAAAGCCUCUGAUCAUGAUUCUGCUCUGGACUAAUAAAAAAAAUCAAAGACUUCCAUUAAAAACAGAAACUUCAGUUUUGUUAAACAAUUUAGGCAGGAACACUUUGCCUUUGGGAAAUCAUUAAAAAUCCAUUUUGAUUCAAAAUGGUGUGAACAUUUCCAGAUCACACGUAGACAUAUAAAACUUCAACAUAUCAAAAGUUCAUCGAAUUCCGAGUUAAGGAAGCCAGUCAAAGACUAAAUCCAAAAUAGACUAGGCUGCAGAGUUUUCUAUUUUCUGCAGAAUAAUGCCAACUUCGAAAAUUUGCCAAAUUGAAUUGGAUUAGUACAAUUGUAAAAAAUAAACAAUUGCAUUAAUAAAUUUGCCAAAUAAAUCUACUAAAUUAUAAACUGUUUCCAAACCAAAGAGUACAUUAAGUCUUGCAGUAAAAAAAGUCUGGUAGAGUUGUAUAUAUCAAUGUCAUGUAUAUGUAGGAAAAGGAAAUUACCUAAUUUCUCAGUGUGGCGAACAUCAUCAACCAGCAAAACUCUGUAACUAUCCCUACUCCCAAUACCUCUCUUGUCCUUGAGUCGUCCAAUAUCUCCUCCUGUAAUUUCAACAUUAAAUAAGGCAGAAGAAUAGUACAGUACAAUGCUACAUUGCAAUUGGGUUUUCUAAUAUGUUUUUCUCCCCCUUUUCAUAACAAAUCUCAACUAUUGAAUACAAAACAAAAAUCCCAGAUGAGAAAAAUCAAGACAGUUGAAGGAUAAAUGAUAAAGUAGGUACCUUGUUCAAGCUGGGUAGCAGGGUCAAAUUGGGAUUGGUCAAACUUUGGGCGCUCCAAGACCCCAGCACCACCCUUGGAAGACCUAAACCUGGCCUUCACAGCCAUGCCAGAGAGAGUCAGAAAAUUGAAUUGGGGAAAGAAAAAAAAAAGGAGAGAGAUAGAGAGAGAAUCUGACCUGCAAUGCAACGACUGAGAGGCUAAGAGAAGAGCGGCGGCAGAGAGGGGUGUGACUGUGACGUGCUGGUUGAGAGAGAGGUUUGGAAUCGGUGGCUGGUGGCUGGCUGGCGGCUGGCUGAGUGAGUAUGAAACUAAAUGGGAAGGAGAGGAAAGAACGAAGAAUGAAAAAACCCAAUCUGAAUUUGGUGUAAUCCUGUGUGUGCGCUACCUAUGGUAGCAGCAUACACAACCAAUCAAAAUUUGACAGGUAUGAAAAUAUAUAUAAUUUCAAAUAUAAAUAUAUAUAAUAUUUAAAAAAUAUAUAAAUUAAUUCUAUUGGACCGGUUCGGAUUGGACCGGUUCCUUAGGAUGGAAAACCGGAACCGGAACCGGUCUGAACCGGUUCGGUUUGGAUUUUUCUCGAUUUUUGACUUUUUUGGUCAACACGGUUUUUUUCGGUUUUUUCCGGAUUGGUUUGGUUCGGUUUUGCGGUUUUGCGGUUCAAAUGCCCACCCCUAGUGGAGACCACAUAUUUAGAAAAAAUGAAGCAUGUCAUGAUGAAGGUGUUGAAGAAUUGGAUCCACAUAUUAGAAGGAAUGAUUACAUAUCCAUGUGAAGUUAUCAACUUUGCCUGUAAACGGGCUUCAUCCUUCCCUUGCAUGAGACUACAAUUAGAGAAGGAAGAGAGAGAGCUCGGAGAGAAAGAAGAGAAGGAAAGAAAGAGGGUGAGUGAGCGGAGAGAAAAAUGAGAGCAGUGAGAAAUUCUCCAAGAGAGAAAAAAAUCAGUGAGCCACAUAUAUUGUAAAUAUUAAAGUUGUAACCCUAUUAUUUGAUAUAGUGGAAAAGUUAUAACUGCUGCUCUUCGAGGACGUAGACAAGGCCGAACCUCGUUAAAUGUUGUGUCUCAUCUACUUUACUUUAUCUCACAUAUUCCAGUUAUUUAAUAACAAAGUUGGAUGUUUUAUGCAAGCUUUGGAAUUUGAAGGCAUGAUUAUAAGAAAUUUAUAAAAUCAGGUGAAUUCCUAAUUUUUUUUAAUUUUUUAUCUAAUGUGAAUGAAUUUUGUACUUUAAAUUAUGACUUUUAGAUUUACCCUUAAAUUUUUCCCUUAAAAAUCCACUAUGAAUGAGAAAAUAAUAUUGUUUUGUUCAUAACUUUGUCAUUAACAUUUUUUCUUCUAUGAGAAUAUCAUAACAUUUUGUACUUGUAUAUAAAAGGCCUCAAUAUCACUCGUUAUACAGAGCCUCCAAAAUCAAUAAACCGCCGGGAUGUAUUUCUUACUAAUUGAUACUCAACCGAUGUGCAUCUACCUGUGACAAUCAUGUGACUGUUCUGUCGUUUGGCCCACACUCCAAAUUAAACAGGCAAACAAAUGGUUUGACUCCCACACCGCAGGCUAAAAUACAAUAAUUCAAAUCAAAACCAUGACCCAUGAGGCAGCAAAACGUUGUGCUUAUCUGAAUAUCCCAAUCCAUCUGCACGUACACAACAGUGAUAUCCCAAUCCAGACAUACUUCUGGAAACAGAAGAAAACAAAACCAGCUCUGUUUUUUUGGUUACAAGCACACCGUUUUUUCUUUUUAUAAUCUCGUAUAUAAAGAGAGAGUAAAAUUUUCGAAACAAUACCCUUAUUUCCAUGUCUUCCAGCUACUUUAUCACCUACUUUGAUUUCACGUUACUCAUUAUCAUCUUCUCCAUCAAUAAUACACUCAAAACAUUCACAUUCACAGCUGAGGAGUUCAAAAGAUUUAAGAGAGAAAUAGUAGAGAGGAGAAAAGAAAUCAUAAUCAUGAUGUCAAGUACAAGUGUUGGAGUGGAGGCAUUGAAGGAUCAAGGGAUAUGCAGAUGGAACUCUGCUCUAAGAUCUGUGCACCAACAAGCCAAAACCCAACUCAGGUCAUUUUCUCAGCUCUCAUCUUCUUCUGCUUCAGCUGCUUUCAGUACAGCCGGAGACGAAAAGCUGAAGAAAUCAGAGGAGUCUUUGAGGACAGUCAUGUACUUGAGUUGCUGGGGUCCCAACUAAUUCAAUCAGCACAGAGACAAGAGCAAAGAUAUCAGAUUUUUGUGCAACCGGUUGCUGAACUGGAGCUUGGGCAUGAACAGAAGGAUGAAACAAGAUGACACAACCCAUGAAAGGGCUCCUGGAGUUUUAUAUAUAUCAAAUGAUCAGGAUAUAUAAACUUGUUGGGGUUACAUACUGGCAAGCAAUCGUUGUAAAUGGCAGAUAAUUCAUUCAUGUCUGCUUGCUUGCUUGGGACAAAUUUAUGUAAAUUAUGUUAUGACAAUUACCUAUAAAUUUGAGUAUUUAGCAGUGAAACAUAAUUGAGUUGCCCUAAUUGGGUAAAAUCCAUUGUCUUGAAUGGUUUCUUUCUCCAACAAAAGCUAUAGCCCAACACAUCCCAUGGUUUUUCCCACAUUUUUAUGGGUUUCCUUCCUCCUACAUUCAUCUCUGCUUUGGUUUCAAGUAAGCUCAGCUGCUGGGGUCCCGAUUGAAUAUUAAUUCAACCUUGUUUAUUUACAAAAUGACUGUGAAUUGUAUAUCCCUGAAUUCUCUAUGAUAUAUACAAUUGAUUAUUCUAUGCACCAGCAACUUAAACAUUAAUCAAGCUACUGUGGUUUUGGUCAGAACGAAAACAUUAAUUUUUAGUGUAAAAAGGUUUUAUGCCUACACACAUUUCAUAUUAAAUUGAGUGUUGAUGGUGCUCUCAAAAAUGGUGGCAGGUGCCGUAGGUACCUUCCUUUUUAUAUUUUUGUUCACCACUCUUAAUUGACGGUGAGCAAACCCAUCACGUUUAUUGUCGUGGAGGAAAUUCAUGUAAUAUGUAGAUUAAAUCAUAUUCAUCAAACAUGUAAUAUAUAGAUUAAAUUAUACUCAUUAAACAAUAAUUAACCUAAUUAUAAUGCUCACUAUUUCUUUAAUGACAUGUCAACACAUAGUAGACUCACGCCUAUAAUUAGCCAAAGCAAAUAGAGAGAAAGAAAGACACUAUUGUUAUACAACUAAAAUAAUCAGAGAGUAUGAGAAGUACCACUAAAUAUUGGGAGUAUAUUGGGAGUGGAAUUAUAUUUGCUCUUUGUGGUGUUUACACUGACAGAAUUUCUUCUCAGAUAGAACUCAUUCUCUCUUUUCUUCUCUGACUCUGACUCUCUUCUCUUCUAAUUGGUUGUGUAUUUUACAACUUAAAAGGAAGCCUAUUUAUAGGCAAUUAGAAUGGCCUCCCGUGGAUGCAUCUUCAACAUUUUCUCUCAACAUCAUCAUUCAUCCCAACAUCAUAAUUUCAUCUUUUGACUAAUACUCCCUUACUUUAUUCAUGUGGCCUUCACUUCUUACUUUAUAACAACUAUAAUGUUUGUUUUUCUGCCCACGGUCCACACCAAACCAAGUAAACAAAUAGUUCCACUCCUACACUGCGAGCCUAAAUACAUAUAAGUUUGCACAUAAUUUUGGGUUUCAAGACAUUGUGUUGGAAAUAGACGCGCAAGGGACAGUAGAUAAAAUCAAUUCUGACAAAGAGUUUUUUGAAGCAGAAGGAAACUUGGUGGAAGAUUAAAGAUGCGGUUGUAGUUUAGAUCUUUCUCGUGUGAAUGGCAAUGACGUGACAAUAAUGCAGUUGCUCAUGAGCUAGCCCAAUAUGCUAUUAGGAACACUGGUUUUUAUACAUGAAUUGAGGAGGAGCCUCCUUGAUUGAGUUCUUUACUUGCUGCAGAUUUAAAAGCAACUUGUUGAUUUAUGUAUUCAAUGUCAACUGGGAGGCGCUUUUUUUCUUGUGGCGAAUUUUCCUCCUUUUUGGGAGUUUUUUAGGCCAAAUAUUUUUGUACAGAGGCUCAAACUUGUACAUCCCUUUCCUUCUUUUUGUUGUAUUAUGUUGGUUGGUUAUUGAAUGAAGUCCAGUUAUCUCAAUGUAAAGAAAAAAGGGCAAAAAAAGAAAGCAAAGCAAAACCAUAUGCCCACGUGGCAGCAAAAUGUUGUGCUUGUCCAAAUUCUGAAAUCCCACUUCUACCCAUGUUUAAUUGAUCAUUUCUACUGCAUCUGGAUGUCCAGUUGAGUAAUAUCUGAACUCAUAGUGCAUCAUCCACAAGGUCCAAAAGAAACAAAAACCAUUGGCUUUUCUAUCCCAAAGAAAAAAGACCCAUUUGCUUUCACUGAGGAAACCGCCUCUAGUUUUUGGGGACGGACAAAAAAGCACACCGUUUCUAAUCCCCUAUAUAAAGAAGCACUCUUUGCUCAUCUACUUCAUCGGACACUUACACAUUCACAUACCAACUGAAGAGUUCAAAAAAAUCAAAGACAGAAAAAUCUAGUAGAUAAGAGAAGAUAAGAGAAAUCAUAAUCACGAUGAGUUCAUCAAGUGCAAGCAAGGCUAUUGUGGCAGCAAGUGUUGGAGUUGUGGAGGCACUGAAGGACCAAGGGAUCUGCAGAUGGAACUCUGCUUUAAGAUCUGUGCACCAACAAGCCAAAACCCAACUCAGGUCAUUUUCUCAUGCCAACAACAAGCUCUCAUCUUCUUCUGCCUCAGCUGCUUUGGGUAAAGUCAGAGAUGAAAAGCUGAAGAAAUCAGAGGAGUCUUUGAGGACAGUCAUGUACUUGAGCUGCUGGGGUCCCAACUAAUUCAAUCAACACAAAAACAAGAGCAAAAAUAUGACAUUUUUGUGCAAGCGGUUGCUGAAAUGGAGCUUGAGCUUGAACAAGGGAUGAAACAAGAUGACAACCCAUGAAGAGCUCCACCAAAUGAGGACAUAGUUAGAUAUUGGCAAUCGUUUUGUGCUUGUAAAUGGCAGACAAUUCACGUCUGCUUGGGGCAAAUUGAUGUAAAUUAUGUCAUAUUAAGACAAUUACCAUAUAAAACAUGUAUGUUUCUGAGAAUUGCUGCCUCGAUCAUUAUUUUGGUCUCUGUUUUUUUGUGUAUAUAUUUUGCCCAUUGUUUAUUUUGUCAUGAGUAGAAGAUUUAUCAACCCUACAGGUCUGAGUUGAAUUUGUUUAAUUUCAAAACAGUAUAUUUGAAGAAGGAAACGUUUUAUGGAAUUAGAAACAUCCCAAUCUGAAACUAGGACAGAAGAUUAGCCAUGAUGGCUCAGCCAAUACAUCUCAUGCUCUAUUGGAAAGGAAAAUACUUACUUCCCUUCCCUCCUACAGGUAAGGAUACAGCUACAGGUAAGGAUACAGGUAAUGAGUCAAAUGAGGCAAGUAGAAUCCUAUUGGAAAUAUGAAUUUAGAAUAUAAUAAUAUCAAUAUAGUAAUGGAUCUCCAAACCCAACUAUUUUCACCAGUAGUUUCCAAGAAGCAUUCUCCUUCUUAAAUAUUUCUUAACUCAAACCAAUUGGAGUGUCUCCAAAAAAAAAAAAAAAAAAGAAGAAGAAGAUAAUUUCCACUAGAAAACAAACAAAAACAAGUGGUCUUUCCUCCCAUACCUGAGGCUUAAAUGGAUUUUAUGAAGGAAAACCGUGUGCUGUGGUCCUACCCAACCCAAUUUUGUCUCCGUCAAUGAAUGUGACAAAUAGUUGACAGGAAAAAAAAUGAACGUGACCAAGUAGCCCAAUCUUGACUCACCGCUGAGGAAAAACCACUGGCUACCCCAGCAAAAACCUCUACAGCUAGAGCUAGCCCAUGGCUUUUUUUUCCCCACAUUUUAUGGGGCUUAGUUUUAGUGUCACUCUCCCUCCAUAUAAAAGCAACACCAACUCCCCAUUUACUUCAUCAAAAUUCAAACACAUCAAAACAUCAGUUUUACUUCCCAUCAAGUUUAAGAGUGUUCUUAUUAAGUUUACAGAAGAAGAUAUCAAUAUGAGCAGUUCAUCAUCACCAGCAGCAAGGAGAGGUUGGGUGGUGGCAGCAAGUGUUGGAGUUGUGGAGGCCUUGAAAGACCAAGGGAUCUGCAGGUGGAAUUAUACUAUGAGAUUAAUGCAGCAGCAUGCAAAGAGCCAACUUGGGUCUUUUUCUCAGGCUAACAAGCUCUCUUCCUCAUCCUCUGCUCUGGUUUCAAGCAAGCUUAGAGAUGAGAAGGUGAAGCAGUCUGAAGAGUCUCUCAGGAAAGUCAUGUACCUCAGCUGCUGGGGACCCAAUUGAUUUCAGCAACUACAUAAUUUGUAGCUGAAGAACAUGAUCAAUACAAUUUGGCACUGAAGGCAGGCUUGGAUUACAAAUUUUCAAGUUUUGAGGCAUGGGAUGAUGAUAGCUGGAAACAUGUGGUUAAGUUGACCAUGGUUGGUGUAGGAUUUGCAGCCUGAAGAAAUUUUGUUUGUUUACAAAAUUAUUGUAAAUUGUAAAUGUCUGAGUUCUCUAUGAUAUAUACAAUUAGUAUGAAAAUUGAUAUGUCAUCUGAUCAUUAGCCCUAACCAUUAAAAUCUAUAUCAUGUAUGGUCUGUUAAGGAAGGGAAGGGGUUUAAAUCAAAUUUUCUAUGCAGAUCCUACCAUUAUUUAGUACCAACUAGUAAAUAAUUUCGUCCAUAGCCAGAGAAAAUAGCGAAUGCAAUAAUGUACAUAGUUAGUAAAUAAAUCCUGAACUAUUUAAUUUUUAUAAAUAAAUUCAAAAAAUAUUUAAACAAUUAUGUUUUGUCGAGUGUUUUGGGUUUUUUUUUUAUGAGGUUUCGGAUUUGGUUUGUUUUAAGAAACAAAGGCAGUUUUGUAAUUUAUAGUAAGUUCAAAGCUUCUUUGUUAUAUUGUAAAUGGGUUUUCGGUGUGUUUCUAAAAUUCAUUUCAUGUAGUUUUUUUUAAUAGUUUGAGCUCCUAUAUUGGACAUAACAAUGAAUCCCCACCUUUUUUUUUUUUUAAUUAACUGGAAUGAUGACAAAUGCUUUAAAAGCAUAUAUUCUGUGGCCUUAAAAGCAUUAUUAUUUUGAAGAAACAAGGUGCGCACAAUGUCUUGUGUACCCCAGCAGAAAAGUUCAAACCAGAAAAUCCACUGGAUUUCCUUGGCUCAAAACCAGCAGCAACUGACGUAGUAGCCUCUGGUUUUUUCCCAAUAUUUUGGCCUUUUCUUUUUCUCAAUCAUGUAUCCAACUCAAGUCACUUAUUAUUUCCUUUCUAUAUAAAGAGACCCUCCAUGCCAAUUAUUUCAACUCAACCUUUCUCAAAAUUUGUUCUCUUGCAAAAGACCUAUCUUAUCAUAAUUUCAAUACAAAUUAAGGGGCUUACAUCCCAAGAAAAAGGAAAAUCAAGAUGAUGAGUGCAGCAACAGCAAGUAGGGCUUGGGUUGUGGCAGCCACAGUUGGAGUUGUGGAAGUGUUGAAAGACCAAGGGUUGUGCAGAUGGAACUAUCCCAUGAGACUGGUGCACCAGCAAGCCAAGAACCAUCUCAGGUCUUUUUCUCAGGCCAAGAAGCUGUCUUCUUCUUCUUCUGCCAUGGCUUCAAGCAUGAUCAUGAGAGAAGAGAAAAUAAAGCAGUCAGAGGAGUCUAUGAGGAAAGUGAUGUAUCUUAACUCUUGGGGUCCCAACUGACACCAACCAAAUUAAGCUUAGCUUAGCUUAAGGCCAUUGUAAAUUACUUUAAGGCAAAUGCUCUUACAAAUUUGGUAAAAUACAUUGGGCACUUAUGUUUUCCAAAUUCAGUUUUUCUUCUUGCUUGACUAAAGUGUUUAAUUUGGCACAGCUUCUUGGCCUUGGCCUAAUCCGAUCAUAAGAACAACACAACUUUAUUACUAAAUUAUUCACCCAAAGGAAAACUGAAACAAACUUUUCCCCAAAAAUUCUGGGCUGAAAAGAACAAAAUAGCCGCUGGUAUGGCCAAAAACCACAACCCCAGUGAAACCACCUCCACUCUCAUCACCCCCUUAGCUCUCUCUCUCUCUCUGCAUAUUUAUGGCUUCAGUUAGAUAGUCUCGAUGCUUAUAUAUGUCUAUCUCAAUACUCUCUCCAACUUACUGUAACAAAUUCUACUUUGUUCUUUAAAUUACUGGUAGUGGCCAUCAUUCAAAAGUUAAAAAAUGAGGUGGAAGAGCAAGGCUUGGGCUGUUUUGGGCACUGUUGUAGCUGUGGAGGAGUUGAAAGAAAAGAAUCUAAGCAAAUGGAGAUCCCUGCAGAGUUACCAACAUGCACUAAUUAACAACAUUGUGCCACUGUCUACACAAGUGGGAAAAUCUUCAUCUACAUCUUCAACAAUGGAGUCAAAGAAGAAAUAUUGCAAGCAGGGGACUCUGAAUCUGAAGCAAUCAGAAGAACCACUUAGACUAAUUAUGUACUUGAGCUGUUGGGGACCCAACUGAGCUGGAAAGAUAUGCUGCAUGCCCCUCCAUGUUUAUGAAAUCAUUACUAAGCAUUAUGUAUGUUUGUGUGUGUAUUUCAAGAUGUACACAUCCUGAUCUAUAAUCUUAUUAUCAUCAUAUCUUUGUAAGAACUUGUUCUAAAAAAAGAGGAAAUAAAAACUCUAUGCUUUUACUCUUAGGCCGUGUUUGGUGGGUUGAAUUAUAUGACAGAAUAUGAUUCAUAAUCUAGUAAAAUGUUUCCUAGACUAAAAACAAUCGAAUUGAAUUAUGUCCAAUCAAUUACUAUCCUGAAAUUAGAGCAUAUAAUUCAGUAGCUACUGUCAUAUGGUAGUGCUCUAAUCUCCAAGCAAUAAGCUCUUGGGUCCAUCAACUUAUUCUAGACUGUGGAACAAGAUACAAGGAACAGAAAGCAACUUUACGCAAAAGCUGUUUGAUUAUACCAUAGCAAGUUAGCAACUGUUGUUAUUGCCCCCAAAUCAAAUGAAAAAUGGUAUAUGUCAUUGUGUACGAAACAUGAUUUCAUUGAUUUGGGAUAUUGGAAAAGAUGAGAUGCCUUUCACAAGAGGGCCACAUGGGAGCAUCAGUGGUGGGUUUUCUGUGUCGUUAUCUUUCAUGGCACCACCAGAACAUGUUCUAAUGCUCUAAACAUCAUAGCCUAUUUUAAUUAUGAUGGCCUUAUGCCAUGCUCUCCUCUUUAAGCCUUUAUCAGAAUAAAAAUACAAGAAAGAAAAAAGGAAUCAUAAGAAGAUUUGAAAGAGAACUUUGAUUUGGUGCAAGUGUUAUCCGAAGCAAUAGUUCUUCCACCAAUGGGUAGCUAUAUUGUUGCUAUCUGUCAUUUUCUUUUGUUGUAAACCACUAUCAAGCUGUUAAUUAUUGUAAACCACUAAUCUACAGGAAGGGAUCCAGGUGAAAGGGGCGAGCUCACUAUUCUGGCCGACUAACCUAAUUCACGUCGAUUUUGUAGAUCUCUUUUAACGUUGAGAAUAAAAAUAUUAAUAGAUUAAGGGUUAAUUAGUCUAAAAUCCCGUAUUAUGUUUUUUUUUUUUUUUUGGGGGUCAAGAUAUAGUGCCAAUAUUUAGCCCAAAAGUUUCAAACUUGAAGCUCUCCUACCAACUGCCAGCCAACAUCAACAGGGAGAAUGAGUAAAAGUAACCACCGCCAAUUCCGACAAUCCAAAAAGUCCAGAGCGAAAGGUCUCAUUCAGCCGCAUAUGGCAUUGGCUAUCAUAAAGACCUUUCACAACCAGAGACACAACUAAAACACGCAUUGCACCAAAGCCUCAAUCUUUCAGCUUCAGCCUUCAAUUCGCACAAAACAAAAUCUCUCUUUUCACUUUUUUUCCAACUAUCUCCGGCGAAACCCAUUUUCCGGCUGCCACCGUGAAGCGAAUUUCCGGCGGGUGGGUCGAGAAUGGCUGUGGAAGCUGAGAAAUCUGGGCCUGAUGGGAAGCUGUGGAGUCUAUUCAAAAAUCCAUUUGGGCAGUCGAGAAAUGCCUCUUCCUCUUCUUCUUCUUCGUCGUCUUCGACCUUGUCUUCUAUGCACAAUGUUCAUCAGCUGGGUCAGACUCAUGAGUCUGUGGAGCGUGCGGCUCUUCAUUCUGCCAGUACGGUGUCGUAUGUGACCAAGUCUUUGCUUCCUGCUAGGAGGAGGCUCCGUCUUGAUCCUGCUAAUAAGCUCUUUUUUCCAUGUACGCCCCUUACCUUGUCUGCUUUAAUCAUCUUUGUUGUUUGUAUAAUGGUUUUGAUUUUGGUCAUCUAUUUCAUUUUCUGAGAAUUUUGAAGGUAAAGAGUGGAACUUUUGUUUCUUUUGGGGUGAGUAAUUAGUUGCAUGAUGUCUGUUUUUGAGCUUACACUGGUUUCAUUUGCCAAAUGGUUAUCUGGGUCUUCGACAUUUAGUACAUAGAGCUGCAUUCUUUGUUCUUUGAUUUGCUUAAGUUGCAUGAUCUUUUGAUUUCAUGAGUUAAAGACUUACAGUUGUUCCAAUUGUUAUGCUGAUCUGGUCGGUUCUUAUUGGUGUCUCUAUUUCUGAUAUUCUCUUUCUUUAGUUUGUUUCUGUUGCAUGAUGCAUCCAUUUGUCCAGUGUGGAGUGGUUUGAUUGAUCCUAAUAUGGGUUGUUCUUACAUUGUUAGCAUCACCCUGGAUUUCUUAUAAGAUGUUCACUCAGAUAAUAUUUGCUAAUCAUUAGAAAAGUGUAAUGCUUGCUCAAUUCCUUUGCCGAUUGAUGAUUCAAGCUAGUUAUGUUUUUCCUCACUCUCUGACUGUUUUCUCUGAAGAUGAACCUGGUAAGCAGGUGAAGAGUGCCAUUGGAAUUAAAAACACAAGCAAGUCUCAUGUAGCUUUCAAGGUAUCGAUUGACUCCUCGAGUCCCCUUUUUUGUUUUCCCCCUUAUUAAGUAUUUUACUUCUUUUACAUAUCAGAAACUAGUCAUAAACCAGUAUUGUGAUCAAAUUGGGACAACAUUUGAAUUGAAAAUUGGGGAUGACAGCAUUAGGAGUUUUCUGGUGUCAAUUUGAUCUGUUACGCUUAUUUCCCAACAGAACCAUCUAACUGCUUACAUGUUGGUUGUUUUUUUUUUGUUUAGUUCCAAACAACUGCACCAAAGAGUUGUUACAUGCGUCCUCCAGGGGGAAUACUUUCUCCGGGUGAAAGUCUUAUUGCAACUGGUAAUUCAUUCUUCAUGGUCUUCCCUCACGCACUCUUAUAGUCAUUUUUGGGUUAUUUUUCAUUUCCAUUUGCAAUAAAUAACAUGCUAGCUAUUUAGAUUUUAGUGAGUUAUCGUCUGAAAAUUGUAACUUGAUUGACAGUCUUCAAGUUUGUGGAACCUCCGGAGACCAAUGAAAAACUAGUAGACCAGAAGAGCAGGGUUAAGUUCAAGAUCAUGAGCUUGAAAGUGAAAGGAGAUAUGGACUACGUACCAGAACUGGUAUAAUUGCAGAUAUUUUGUAUAACUUCUACCGUAUCUUAAUACAUUGCUUUUCCACGAUAAUAGUUUUUUUUUAUUUUUCUAUGUAAAUGGAACCAAUAACUACUGGACUUUUACAUUCCCUCAAAAUAAGCAGAGAUAUUGUAAGUAGAAUUGAGAUAGCAGAACUGAGGUCAUUUUCUCUGUUAUCUGUAGCCUGCUGUGCCAAUAUAAUUAGUAAGUGAACGUUCAGAUGUCAUGUACUUCAUAGCAAAUGUUUGCAGAAAUUCUAAUUGGAACUUUCCUAUAAUUAGAACAUAUAUCUUCUACUCUGAAUCAGGUUGAUCUUACUAUAAAUCUCAUUGAUUCUUGAAAAGUUAUGUAUAUUUUUGUUUCUAUCACAAAUAGAAACCAGUAUGCAUCAUAAUUCCUAGAUAUUAAACAUUAACUGUUACAUGCAUUUAUGCAGUUUGAUGAGCAGAAGGACCAAGUUGUGGUUGAGCAGGUUUUGCGUGUUGUUUUCCUGGAUCCUGAACGCCCUACCCUUGUAAGUAGAUGGUGGAUACAUCUCUAACCUGUCAUUUUCCUGCCCUCUGCAUACUUUUUUUUAUUGUCUUAAUUUGGCCGCAGCAUUUUCACUUUCAAUUUGAUUUUUGUAAAGGCGAUGGAAAAACUUAAGCGGCAAUUGGCUGAGGCUGAGGCUGCCCUCGAAGCACGAAAGAAGCCUCCAGAAGAAACAGGGCCCCGAAUUGUAGGGGAAGGACUUGUCAUAGAUGAAUGGGUGAGGUGUUUGACAUGUUUUUGUUUCUUUUGAUAGAAUGAUGAUAUUGAGCUUUAUACAUUUCUUACUGUAAACAUUCUUACUUGUGGUAUGUAUGGUUUCCUUUGUAGAAAGAGCGCAGGGAAAGGUACCUAGCCCAGCAGCAGGUUGAAGGUGUUGAUUCGGUGUAGAGUUAUGUUCCUUUUUGUUUAGAUCAUUUCUUUCUCUAGUGUGGAAGUUUCUAUAUAUGAUUGAAUUGUCGCCUAUUCAUGUGUGGAAGACCGUUGAGCAAUCUUAAAGGUAAAUGGAAUGGAAGCAUGUUUCGUUGUGGAUAGAUGUUACAUUUUUGUUUCUUGUUUUGUUUAAUUUUUGCUUUGUCCUUUUUAUGAGAAAAAUUAGUCUGAAGUUCUGCUUCAGGUCUCCUAAUGUACUUGUAGAUAGCAUAAAUGACAAUAGUGAUUUUUUACAGAACUUAUAAUCUCUGUUCUAGCUGGCUGUUUUGGCUCACUUCUCUCUUGAGAUAUCCAACACAAACACCUCUCCAUACGGCUAAUUUACUUACCAUAAGUUUUCUUCAUGAAUUUUGUGUUCUUGUAGAAAUGUUUGAUGCAGUUUGGGUUGUUUUCUCACAUAGAAUGGAAUGGGGUUAUUCAAAGUUUUGAGAAGUUCGAUCGCUUAUCAAAUUUCAUCAGGCAUGCAGUAAUCAGGUUUUUUUAACAUUUGCAACUCCAAUAAUGAGAACUCUGAAGAAGUGGCAAGUUGUCAAAGGAACACGGUGAUAGUACUUAAAUUUCAAUAAUUUAAUUGAAUGGUCAAAUAAUAUCGGAUUGAAGUGAUUUUUUGUAGAAAUGAUCUUUGAAUGAAUAUCUACAAAAUAGACGGUUUGGAUUAGUGAAAUACUAUGCAGAGUGGGUCCUACAAGGGUAUUUCUCACAUAAGCUUAUUUGAAAAAUCCCUCAACGGAAGCUCUAUAUAUAUAUAUAUCCCCCUUUUCUUUGGUGAGUAUUACAAUUAUUUGCUCCAUGGAAGUGAUUAUAUGGAUUAUGGGUAAGUAGGCAGGUACAUAACAACUCUGCUGCCAUGCUGGCUUACACUUUACGGAGCAUGAUCUCUGUGUGUGUUUUGUCUGAAAGGAUCCUGAAUCAGAUUACUACAACUAUUAUUUGGUAUUAUUCAGAGUUGACAGCUUCAAACUGAGUUGAGAUGUCAAGAAUCUUGCUCCAUUUCUUAAUUAUGUAGAAUAAUGGAAACUGGAUUGAGAUCUGAGUAUAAUACUUAUUUUAUGGUCCACUAACAAUAAAUUAACAUGUUAACCAAAACUUAUCCAUCAAAUUAUAUGAAGAUAAAUAUUGGGGAACCUUGGCCAGGGCUUUUUAUACUGUGACAUCCAAUGGAAACACCAUUUCUUGGUAGCAGUAUAUUUGCUUAGCUUUUUGUCUGCACGUCUAUGAUCUUUGAGAUAUAAACAAAGAAAGAGAUUUAUAUUUCAGGCAUAAAGAAUAUGUGUGCAGUUACUCUAAUAAAAAAAUAUUAUAUGAUGUUGUGGAGAAUAAAGAGAAGAUCUUAUCAACUACUUUGUCAAUGCAUUGGAAUACAAGCCAAUGACACUGGAUGGAUACAGCUGCCUGUAAUUAUAAAUUAAUUUCCAACUAGGUCUAGUACAAUAGAAAAAUAACUUUAAUUUGCAUCUUAUAAGUCUUAUGUUCGAAUUCUCGUAACGUUUUAAUUGUAUGUAUAAGAAACCUUUAUUUCCUGUAAUUUAGACUGUAACUUGUAUUUAAAAAAAAAUCUCCAACCAAGUCGUAAUCCCACUUUUAUAAUAUAAUUAAUAAAAGAAUUGGAUAAAUACCUGCCUGUCUGUAAUUUCAAAUUAAAAAAGUAACACUAUCUACGCUCUUUAACCCUUUUUUGGAAGAUCUUUAAGUUCCGAUCCUACUGAAAUUUGUUUAUUAAUUCUUGCUAAAGCGUAAAUUAUGAAACCCACAGAGAAUUAAAAAUCCAUAAUCAGCAUUAGUGGAUUCGAGCCUUACUGUUUUGGUAUGCUGCACAUCGCCAUCUCAGAUUCUCAGUGUAAAAUAAAAUCUAUCACGGAAGUUCAAACAUACGAUACCAUAUGGUUUUUUAAUUUUUGUUUUUAGAUUCUCAUUUUUUUGGCUGAAGUCUGAAAGCGAUUAUUAUAAAAGCACUAUUUCUAUAUGUUCCGUUCCAGCUCUUACCCCCACUCUCUCUCUCUCUGAUAAUGACCCGGGCAUACUAUUAUUGCAACUACAAUUAUUAUGUUCAUGAAAGCUGAUAGGUGGGUGGACCUCUCCCUGUGAAGGCGACCCAUUUGCUAUAGUGAUAAGAAUAAACAAAUAUCCAUUGGCCUAUGGAUAUGAGGCAAGUUUACAUUUUGAUCCCCAAUCAUUGUAUGAAAUCAUCCUGGUUUAUACAAUCCUUGCAAAAACCCUAUAUCCAGCAACAACUUACAUUCUGGAAGAGUUUUUUCAAUGGAUCACAAGGGUUAUGUUCUCUUCAUCCUAAUAUAUGUUCUUAUAUUAUUAUUAAGCUCGUAUGUUAGAUUAGAUUUUGAUUUUAAUCUUUCGAUUUCGUAUAUCAUUCACGUAUAAUGUAUUUACGAAUACCCUUAAAAUAGCAUAUCAACGUGAAUAAUAGGCCUAAAUUAAAACCGUAAUCUAACAUCAAGGUUUUAAAAAGAUGAAAAUUUUAUAUAUUUUGUUAUUGACAAGCUUGGAGGAUGAUAUGAUACCCUAUAUUUUGAAACUUGAGAUGACGAUGCCGUACAAAACUGAAUUGGUAUGCUACAUCAGCGUGAUGUACACCGUACAAGGUACAACAAAAACCGUCUUGGAUUCAUAUGAAGAAAUAUGAAUUAUGGAAAUGUUGUCGGCCUAGUUUCAAUCAAAAGAAUAAAAAGGGUAGCCGUUCGAUUCCGUAAUUGCAUCCAAUCUCAUCCGUCGAAAAUGGUAUAAAGCUAAAUACUAGCUAGAAACAAAACAUAAUUAGUUUAUUAUUCAUUUUAAUUUGUAACGCCGAAGACGAAGGAUAAAUAGAAGAAGAGUCCAGAGCCCGCUGCAGGGGACCCCACAGCAGCACGUGAUGCCCAUGCCUGCCCCACCCGAUGGCGCCAAAACGCAUAAAAGAGGCCCAACCCGCUCACGUGUCCCUCUCCCUCCUCCAUAUCAAAUCAUUUUCCCAUCACUAUCGAAAAGACAAAAUUGCCCCUGAGGCGACAACUUACUAUUAUACGACGAUAAGUCGUGGUAGACGACGACGUGUGGGCAGGCCGGCCCCAUGCUGAAGAGGACAUAUGCGUACUAUUCCGAGAGACAGAGAGAGAGAGAGAGAGAGAGAGGAAUUGGAUCCAUGAUGCUGAGUCAUCUGAUUCUGAUGUCCUCUGAGAAUUCGGAUAAGCUCGACACCUGUUCUUGCUCAUUGGCUCUCCUUCUCUUCGUCUCUCUUUUAUAUCGUUGUUUCUCGCGAUAACUCUAGCCCCGUUUUAUCUAUAAUUUGCAGAAUUAUUGUAAGCAAACUUUCUUUGUCAGUCUCCUAUAAUUAAACAUAUCUCAUUACUACUUUUCUCCUAGUCUUUGUUUUGAGCUACUUUAGUCUAAUUGAAGUUGGAAAUAACAGAUUUGUAAUAUCUCGUCAACAUCAAAGAAAGGGAAAUAUAACAACUAGAAAAUUAAAUAAUUUGUAUCAAUUUUUUGGUCAAUAGAAAGUAGAAUUUUAGAGUUAAAAGAUGUGGUUUUGUUAGAAUGGGAAAUACUAUUAGAUCAAUAAUUAAUUAUUAGUUUUAUUUAUAUAUAAAGUAAAAAACAGAUAAUGAUAAAACAUUCAAAAUACCAAAAAAUACUUUUGAUUAAUGCAAACAUUAAUAAUUAAAAUUAUUAAUUAAAUUAGAAUAAUAUGGUAAAUUCACACUUUUUUAUACUAAAAAAUUAAAAUUAAAAAAAAUCAAAUAAUUGAUCCUUUUUUUAUGGAACACAAUUACCUAUUUUUUUUUAAUUCUAAAAUAAAUUUGAUUUUUUUAAAAAAAGAACCUCUCAUAAACGAGGAAACGUGUGGGAAAAAGUUGAUAUAUAAUUGAGUCAUCACAUUUUAAAACUAAAGGUUAAGAUCAAAUUUAUUUAUCUUGAUUUAAUGAUUCAAUCAUUCACUUAUUUUCUAUUUUAUCAAUUAGAAAUGGAGUCAAAUCAAACUUAAAGAAAAUGUUGAAAAAGUGAAAAGAGACAAAUUCACUGACGUAAUUCAAUUUUGAGUAAAUUCAUUAUCUUAUAAAAGAAAAAACACAUUAUCUACUUACACAAUCAAAUUCUCGAGAAAUUGAGGAGAAAAUCAAAUUGCGGAGUUUGGACACAAUAAAACAUCAAAAUUAUCGAUACCUCCAAUCCAAAGAAUUGAGAAAACGCCAAAAGAAGCUGGGCCUCCACGCCCAGCCAGUCACCACUUAUCUAUCAAAACCAUUUCCGCUCUCUGAAAAACCAGUGGUUUUUCAGCAAACCCGGAUUCAUUUCCUUCCAUCUUUCCCUAUAAAUUAACGCCAUUGUCCCCUUAACUCACUCUUACGGACUUCACAAACACCAAAAACAACAGCAAAAGCAAUUACAACCCUUAAUUUCAAUUUCAGUUCCAGAGUUUCAGAGUCUAGCAAUCGAAGAUGAACCAUUUGAACAGAGUUUGGAUGGCGGCGAGCGUGGUCGUGGUGCAGGGCCCUGCCGACCAGGGGCCUAAGUGGACAUCCGGUCUUAAAUCCUUCCAGCUAAGCAGGAGGAGAUGCUUGGGUGGUGCCGGGGACGCUUCGGAUCUCCGCCCAUUGUCCGGCGCAGUCGGGUCGGGUUUCUCCCAAGUUUGUGAGGAGAGACGGAACCAGGCCGACGAGUCUAUCCAAAAAGUCAUGUACUUGAACUGCUGGGGUCAGGGCUGAGGUCGGCGGCGAUUGGAAUUUUCCGGCGCAGAAUGAUUGGAGUUUUUAACUCGGGAGUUGCCGUUUACUCUCGGAGAGGUGUGGUUGGGUUAAAUUGAAACGGGUAACUCCACGAUUGAGUUGACGCGGAUGGAAUCUUUCUUUGUAAAUUGUACAGAAAAUCUUGAAUUGUGGAGAUUUAGAGGAAAACCAUGAAUAAUAGAUGGGACCUUUUAUUUUCAUCUCUUUCUUUUUAUUUUUAUAUUUAAAUUUCAUGAAAGGAACUUUCAAUUGAUCAACAAAAAAAAUUUACAAAACCCAAGUUCAUGUUACAAAUUAAAAUUUACAUAACUGAAUAAAAUGAAUUGACUAAUAUUAAUUGGUGUUUAAUUUAGUUGUGCAAUUAGGUGGUAAAAGUUUUCACAACAUGUAUAAAUGUUGUUGAUUAACCAGAGUUUUCCAUUUAUUAUAUUGUAAAAUAAUAGUCG